rnacentral:rRNA from 1 species
UACAGAGGGUGCGAGCGUUAAUCGGAAUUACUGGACGUAAAGCGUGCGUAGACGGUUAUUUAAGUCGGGUGUGAAAGCCCCGGGCUCAACCUGGGAAUUGCAUUCGAGACUGAAUAGCUAGGGUACGGUAGAGGGAAGUGGAAUUUCCGGUGUAGCGGUGAAAUGCGUAGAUAUCGGGAAGGAACAUCAGUGGCGAAAGCGACUUCCUGGACCAGUACCGACGUCAGGCACGAAAGCGUGGGGAGCAAACAGG